rnacentral:rRNA from 1 species
AUUGAACGCUGGCGGCAGGCCUAACACAUGCAAGUCGAGCGGAGCGGCGGACGGGUACGUAAUGCCUAGGAAUCUGCCUGGUAGCGGGGGAUAACGUUCGGAAACGGGCGCUAAUACCGCAACCUAUCAGAUGAGCCUAGGUCGGAUUAGCUAGUUGGUGGGGUAAAGGCAUACCGAGGCGACGAUCCGUAACUGGGCUGAGAGGAUGAUCAGUCACACUGGAACUGAGACACGGUCCAGACUCCUACGGGAGGCAGCAGUGGGGAAUAUGGGACAAUGGGCGAAAGCCUGAUCCAGCCAUGCCGCGUGUGUGAAGAAGGUCUUCGGAUUGUAAAGCACUUUAAGUUGGGAGGCGUUACCAGCAGAAUAAGCACCGGCUAACUUCGUGCCAGCAGCCGCGGUAAUUC